rnacentral:rRNA from 1 species
AUACGGAGGAUCCGAGCGUUAUCCGGAUUUAUUGGGUUUAAAGGGUGCGCAGGCGGCCAUUUAAGUCAGCGGUUAAAUCGUGGGGCUCAACCCCAUUCUGCAGUUGAUACUGGUUUCCUUGAGUACGGUACAGGUGGGCGGAAUUCGUGGUGGAGCGGUGAAAUGCUUAGAUAUCACGAAGAACUCCGAUCGCGAAGGCAGCUCACCGGGCCGGAACUGACACUGAUGCUCGAAAGUGCGGGUAUCAAACAGGAUUAGAUACCCUGGUAGUCCGCACAGUAAACGAUGAAUACUCGCUGUUUGCGAUACACUGUAAGCGGCCAAGCGAAAGCGUUAAGUAUUCCACCUGGGGAGUACGCCGGCAACGGUGAAACUCAAAUGAAUUGGGGGG